rnacentral:rRNA from 1 species
GUAGGUGGCAAGCGUUGUCCGGAAUUAUUGGGCGUAAAGCGCGCGCAGGUGGUUCUUUAAGUCUGAUGUGAAAGCCCCCCGGGCUCAACCCGGGGGAGGGUCAUUGGAAACUGGGGAACUUGAGUGCAGGAGAGGAAAGUGGAAUUCCACGUGUAGCGGUGAAAUGCGUAGAUAUGUGGAGGAACACCAGUGGCGAAGGCGACUUUCUGGCCUGUAACUGACACUGAGGCGCGAAAGCGUGGGGAGCAAACAGGAUUAGAUACCCUGGCAGUCCACGCCGUAAACGAUGAGUGCUAAGUGUUGGGGGGUUUCCGCCCCUCAGUGCUGCAGCUAACGCAUUAAGCACUCCGCCUGGGGAGUACGGUCGCAAAGACUG